ensembl:rRNA 5S_rRNA 5S ribosomal RNA
GUCUAUGGCCAUACUACGCUCAACAAGGCAGAUUCCGUCUGAUCUAGGAAACUAAGCAGGGUCGGGCCUGGUUAGUACUUGGAUUGGAGACCACCUAGGAAGGCCAGGUGCUGUAGGUG